rnacentral:rRNA from 1 species
AGCAGCCGCGGUAAUUCCAGCUCCAAUAGCGUAUAUUAAAGUUGUUGCAGUUAAAAGCUCGUAGUUGAAUUUCGGGGUUAGUAGGUUGGUCAUGCCUCUGGUAUGUACUGGUCUCACUGAUUCCUCCUUCCUGAUGAGCCGUAAUGCCAUUAAUUUGGCGUUGCGGGGAAUUUGGACUGUUACUUUGAAAAAAGUUAGAGUGUUUAAAGCAAGCUAACGCUUGAAUACAUUAGCAUGGAAUAAUGAAAUAGGACGUUCGAUCCUAUUUUGUUGGUUCUAGGAUUGACGUAAUGAUUAAUAGGGAUAGUUGGGGGCAUUAGUAUUCAAUUGUCAGAGGUGAAAUUCUUGGAUUUAUUGAAGACUAACUACUGCGAAAGCAUUUUGCCAAGGAUGUUUUCAUUAAUCAAGAACGAAAGUUAGGGGAUCGAAGACGAUCAGAUACCGUCGUAGUCUUAACCAUAAACUAUGCCGACUAGGGAUCGGAUGAUGUUAAUUUUUUCAAUGACUCAUUCGGCGCCUU